GAUCCUGGCUCAGGAUGAACGCUAGCUACAGGCUUAACACAUGCAAGUAGAGGGGCAGCAUGAGGUAGCAAUACCUUGAUGGCGACCGGCGCACGGGUGAGUAACGCGUAUGCAACCUGCCCGAUACCGGGGUAUAGCCCAUGGAAACGUGGAUUAACACCCCAUAGUACUUUUAUCCUGCAUGGGAUGUGAGUUAAAUGUUCAAGGUAUCGGAUGGGCAUGCGUCCUAUUAGUUAG
rnacentral:rRNA from 1 species